GUGGAUGAUCUGAUGAGCAGCAUAGAUGUGUUUUCUUUGGGACUGCCUCACUGCACAUAAAAAGAGGUCCAUUUUGUCAACAAUGAAUGCAAUUGGAUCUCACUUGCAUUUGAACAGCUGACCUUCAGCAGCCAGCUCUCAAUUCCCAGGAGAGGUUUCUCUACCCAAGGCAUUUUGGCUUGAACCUUGUUUGCAUGAACUGCAUCAGCUAUACUGGCAAUACCUCCUGGUAUUGCUGCAGUCCCUUCCUCUAUCCACAGUGAAUUCCAUCCAAAAGAAAACAGGCUCAAACUGGUGUUGAAGACUGAGUUUUC